rnacentral:sRNA from 1 species
UAGAAGAAGAAGAAGAAGAAGAAACCUG